rnacentral:rRNA from 1 species
UGGCGGCACUAGCGCGGUGGUCCCACCUGACCCCAUGCCGAACUCAGAAGUGAAACGCCGUAGCGCCGAUGUCGUCCGGCCAGCGUGCCGGCAUGCCUCCCCGGUGGCGCUGCGCUGAUGCGUU